AUUGAACGCUGGCGGCAGGCCUAACACAUGCAAGUCGAGCGGAGCGGCGAACGGGUGAGUAAUGCCUAGGAAUCUGCCUGGUAGUGGGGGAUCACGUCCGGAAACGGGCGCUAAUACCGAAUACUAUCAGAUGAGCCUAGUGCGGAUUAGCGAGUGGGGGGGGUAAAGGCCUACAAAGGCGACGCUCCGUAACUGGUCUGAGAGGAUGAUCAGGCACACUGGAACGGAGACACGGUCCAGACUCCUUCGGGAGGCAGCAGUGGGGAAUAUUGGACCAUGGGCGAAAGCCUGAUCCAGCCAUGCCGCGUGUGUGAAGAAGGUCUUCGGAUUGUAAAGCACUUUAAGUUGGGAGGCGUUACCAACAGAAUAAGCACCGGCUAACUUCGUGCCAGCAGCCGCGGUAAUAC
rnacentral:rRNA from 1 species